CUCGGCAACGGAUAUCUCGGCUCUCGCAUCGAUGAAGAACGUAGCGAAAUGCGAUACUUGGUGUGAGUUGCAGAAUCCCGUGAACCAUCGAGUCUUUGAACGCAAGUUGCGCCCGAAGCCAUUAGGCUGAGGGCACGUCUGCCUGGGCGUCACGC
rnacentral:rRNA from 1 species